UGGGGAAUUUUGCACAAUGGAGGAAACUCUGAUGCAGCGACGCCGCGUGAGUGAUGAAGAUCUUCGGAUUGUAAAACUCUGUUCUUAGUGAAGAUAAUGACAGUAACUAAGAAGCAAGCCCUGGCUAAAUACGUGCCAGUAGCCGCGGUAAUACGUAUGGGGCAAGCGUUGUCCGGAAUUAUUGGGCGUAAAGGGUACGUAGGCGGUUUAAUAAGUCCUAAUUAAAAGGCUAUGGCUCAACCAUAGUAUGGUUAGGAAACUGUUGAACUUGAGUAGAUGAGGGGAAAGUGGAAUUCCAUGUGUAGCGGUGAAAUGCGUAGAUAUAUGGAGGAACACCAAUGGCGAAGGCAACUUUCUGGAAUCAAACUGACGCUGAGGUACGAAGGCGUGGGGAGCAAACAGG
rnacentral:rRNA from 1 species